CAGCCGCCACGGGAAUACGGAGGGGGCUAGCGUUGUUCGGAAUUACUGGGCGUAAAGCGCACGUAGGCGGCUUUGUAAGUUAGAGGUGAAAGCCCGGAGCUCAACUCCGGAAUUGCCUUUAAGACUGCAGAGCUAGCAGGUGAGAGAGGUGAGUGGAAUUCCGAGUGUAGAGGUGAAAUUCGUAGAUAUUCGGAAGAACACCAGUGGCGAAGGCGGCUCACUGGCUCAUACUGGACGCUGAGGUGCGAAAGCGUGGGGAGCAAACAGGAUUAGAUACCCGCGUAGUCCCUGUCUCUUAUAC
rnacentral:rRNA from 1 species